AUGCAAGUCGAACGGCAGCACAGGAGAGCUUGCUCUCUGGGUGGCGAGUGGCGGACGGGUGAGGAAUAUAUCGGAAUCUACCCUUUCGUGGGGGAUAACGUAGGGAAACUUACGCUAAUACCGCAUACGAACUGAGGUUGAAAGCGGCGGACCGCAAGGCGUCGCGCGGAUGGAUGAGCCGAUAUCCGAUUAGCUAGUUGGCGGGGUAAAAGCCCACCAAGGCGACGAUCGGUAGCUGGUCUGAGAGGAUGAUCAGCCACACUGGAACUGAGACACGGUCCAGACUCCUACGGGAGGCAGCAGUGGGGAAUAUUGGACAAUGGGCGCAAGCCUGAUCCAGCCAUGCCGCGUGUGUGAAGAAGGCCUUCGGGUUGUAAAGCACUUUUGUUGGGAAAGAAAAGCGGUCGGUUAAUACCCGGUCGUUCUGACGGUACCCAAAGAAUAAGCACCGGCUAACUUCGUGCCAGCAGCCGCGGUAAUACGAAGGGUGCAAGCGUUACUCGGAAUUACUGGGCGUAAAGCGUGCGUAGGUGGUUUGUUAAGUCAGAUGUGAAAGCCCCGGGCUCAACCUGGGAAUUGCAUUUGAUACUGGCAGACUAGAGUGCGGUAGAGGAGAGUGGAAUUCCCGGUGUAGCUGUGAAAUGCGUAGAGAUCGGGAGGAACAUCAGUUGCGAAGGCGGCUCUCUGGACCAGCACUGACACUGAGGCACGAAAGCGUGGGGAGCAAACAGGAUUAGAUA
rnacentral:rRNA from 1 species